rfam:Danio rerio chromosome 25 genomic contig CTG2378, GRCz11 reference primary assembly.
AAAAAGGCUCUUUUAAGAGCCACCCACUUAAAACAAAAGAGCAGCAU